UCACAUUCUUUUUAUGGGAUGGAUGACGAUAAGCCCUUACACAGGCUACAUUGGUCUCGUUUAUUAAAAGAAUACGUUGGUCAUGACUACUGUUAGAUGGGAGAUCUCGAUGGGCAUAGGCGAAGACGAGUACGAGUAACGAGCCAAGUGUCGUCCACCAGUUCCGCGAGCUCUGCUACCGCUACGUUGUCGACGUCCUCACCGAUGCCCAAGGCUACUCCGAUCACGUGGGAAAACCCGCCAUCGAUCCCGAUGACGUCAGGCUCGCGAUCCAGUCCAAGGUCAAUUUCUCCUUCUCUCAGCCGCCGCCUCGAGAGGAAAUAAUCAAAGAACUGAUGGAAAGACUACCACACAUGAAAGAGCUUAUGAAUAUGUACUGUGGCCCUGAUAGAGUGACUGCAAAGCAACAAAUGCAGGAGUUAGACAGAGUCGCAAAAACUCUACCAGAGAAUAUACCUUCAUAUGUGAAGAGGUUCACUGAUCGUGCCGUUCUUUCACUUCAAGUUUUCUUUUUUUCAACUUAGUUUAGUUUCCUGUAAAUCUUAUAAUGUGUCAUUCUCUAAAAUGGAAAACACUAAAUAUGGCAAACUGGAAUAUUUAAACAGGCCUUUUGAGUGUUGACUUGGAAAUAAAAAUGAAUGUAAUUAUUUUGCAAUGGGAGCAAAUUCUUUGUUUAUCAUAA